GAUGAACGCUGGCGGCGUGCUUAAUACAUGCAAGUCGAGCGAACAGACGAGGAGCUUGCUCCUCUGACGUUAGCGGCGGACGUGUGAGUAACACGUGGAUAACCUACCUAUAAGACUGGGAUAACCUCGGGAAACCGGAGCUAAUACCGGAUAAUAUAUUGAACCGCAUGGUUCAAUAGUGAAAGUCGGUUUUUCUGUCACUUAUAGAUGGAUCCGCGCCGCAUUAGCUAGUUGGUAAGGUAACGGCUUACCAAGGCAACGAUGCGUAGCCGACCUGCGAGGGUGGUCGGCCACACUGGAACUGGAACACGGUCCAUGCUCCUACGAGAGGCAGCAGUAGGGAAUCUUCCGCAAUGGGCGAAAGCUUGGCGGAGCAACGCCGCGUGAGUGAUGAAGGUCUUCGGAUCGUAAAACUCUGUUAUUAGGGAAGAACAGAUGUGUAAGGAACUGUGCACGUCUUGACGGUACCUAGUCAGAAAGCCACGGCUAACUACGUG
rnacentral:rRNA from 1 species